rnacentral:rRNA from 1 species
GUGGGGAAUAUUGGACAAUGGGCGAAAGCCUGAUCCAGCCAUGCCGCGUGUGUGAAGAAGGUCUUCGGAUUGUAAAGCACUUUAAGUUGGGAGGAAGGGCAGUAAGUUAAUACCUUGCUGUUUUGACGUUACCGACAGAAUAAGCACCGGCUAACUUCGUGCCAGCAGCCGCGGUAAUACGAAGGGUGCAAGCGUUAAUCGGAAUUACUGGGCGUAAAGCGCGCGUAGGUGGUUUUGUAAGUUGGAGGUGAAAUCCCCGGGCUCAACCUGGGAACUGCCUCCAAAACUGCAUGACUAGAGUACGGUAGAGGGUAGUGGAAUUUCCUGUGUAGCGGUGAAAUGCGUAGAUAUAGGAAGGAACACCAGUGGCGAAGGCGACCACCUGGACUGAUACUGACACUGAGGUGCGAAAGCGUGGGGAGCAAACAGGAUUAGAAACCCGGGUAGUCC